GCCGACGUGGCUCAACUGGCAGAGCACCGGAUUUGUAAUCCGUAGGUUGGGGGUUCGAUUCCCCCCGUCGGCUCCA
rnacentral:tRNA from 1 species